UAUAUCUUAUAAUACAUUAAAUUUUGGAGCACAUAAUCACAGCAAGCUACACUGUAAGAGUAUAAAUAUUUUUGGCUGAAAUUAAUUUUGAACGUGCAAAUUAAUACGUGAUUAUUAAUUUCGGAUUAAAUAGAACAGGCAUGCUAUACCUAAUACUAUUGGCAGCCUUGUUAAGCAUGGCUGCGUCAAGAGAACCAAGUUCGUGGGUCCAGAAGAAAGAGUGCGCACAUGAAGGUUACCAAUGUAAAAAUCUACCGUGCUGUUAUCAUCUCAAAUGCAGGUAUAAUUUUCUUAAGAAUGACUAUUGGUGCUCAAAAAUUGCAACCUAAGAUCCAGAACAAAAUACAUCGUUCUAUUCAGUGCCUGGGUUGCAUUACUUUUAAAAUAUUUUUUGUCAAACUGUAAUUGCCAUAAGUUUUUUAAUAAAAAAAUAAUUUGACAGC